rnacentral:misc_RNA from 1 species
GAUGAAGAACGUAGCGAAAUGCGAUAAGUAAUGUGAAUUGCAGAAUUCAGUGAAUCAUCGAAUCUUUGAACGCACAUUGCGCCCAUUAGUAUUCUAGUGGGCAUGCCUGUUCGAGCGUCAUUAAGUCCACUUAAGCCUAGCUUAGUGUUGGGAGACUGCUCCAGUGGUGCUACCCUGUAGCUACCCUGCAGCUCCUUAAAGACAGCGGCGGAGUCGUGUUAUCCUCUGAGCUUAGUAAAUCAUUCUAGCUUUCGAGAGUAUCACUUCACCUGCCGUUAAACCACCUAAUUUUUAUGGUUAACCUCGGAUCAGGUAGGAAUACCCGCUGAACUUAAGCAUAUCAAUAAGCGGAGGA